rfam:Hordeum vulgare subsp. vulgare, WGS project CAJW01000000 data, contig: morex_contig_43776
UAAAUACUCCCCCGUCCUAAAACUUUUGUCUUUGAUUUGUCUAGAUAUAAACGUAUCUAGUCAUCAUGUAUUAGUAUUUAGAUACAUCCAUUUCUAAACAAAUAUAAGACAAAAAUUUUGGGACGAGGAAGUAUAAG